rnacentral:misc_RNA from 1 species
AUCUGGUGGCGGUGGUACGGGUGGUGGGAGUGGGAAAAGUGGGUUUUAUAAGAACGGGGAGACGGGGAAUGAGGGGAACAGGAAGGCGGCGGCGAUUGAGAGCAAGUUGACGUGCAGUUUGGAGGAGCUCUAUAAAGGAGCUAGAAGGAAGAUGAGGAUUUCGCGUUCUGUUCCUGAUGAUUUCGGCAAGCCAAAGACUGUGGAGGAAAUCUUAAAGAUAGAUAUCAAACCGGGGUGGAAGAAGGGCACAAAAAUCACUUUCCCAGAGAAAGGCAACCAAGAACCUGGUGUUAUUCCAGCUGAUCUAAUCUUCGUGGUGGAUGAGAAGCCCCAUCCUGUUUUUAGGCGGGAUGGGAAUGAUCUGUUGGUCAAUCAGAAAAUCUCAUUACUAGAGGCUCUCACGGGGAAGACUGUUGAUUUAACAACUUUGGAUGGAAGGUAUCUCACGAUCCCAGUAACGGAUAUUAUCAAACCAGGCCAUGAGAUUGUGAUAUCGAAUGAAGGAAUGCCCAUCUCGAAAGAACCACACAAGAAAGGAAACCUUAAAAUAAAGUUUGAUGUCACAUUCCCAUCAAGUCUCACAGCAGAACAGAAAUCUGAUCUCAAGAGGGUCCUGGGCGGUGUUGAUAAGUAAAUAAGUGAUGAUUCAAGCUUGUGUUGCUGAUCAUCCAUCAAUACUAA